UGAUCAUGGCUCAGGAUGAACGCUAGCUACAGGCUUAACACAUGCAAGUCGGAGGGGCAGCAUGGUCUUAGCUUGCUAAGGCUGAUGGCGACCGGCGCACGGGUGAGUAACACGUAUCCAACCUGCCGUCUACUCUUGGCCAGCCUUCUGAAAGGAAGAUUAAUCCAGGAUGGGAUCAUGAGUUCACAUGUCCGCAUGAUUAAAGGUAUUUUCCGGUAGACGAUGGGG
rnacentral:rRNA from 1 species